GAUGAACGCUGACAGCAUGCUUAACACAUCAGCGACUGAUUGGUUGCGGACGGGCGAGUAACUCGUACAGAACUUGCCUCCCAGGUAGGUACGGCAUUUGGAAACGAAUGCUAAUACCUAACACUGUGAGAGAGCUGGGCGUCCCAUGAGCUAGUUGGAGAGGUAACGGCUCACCAAGGCGGUGAUGGGUAGCCGGCCUGAGAGGGUGAUCGGCCACAAGGGGAAUGAGACACGGCCCGUACGCCUACGGGAGGAAGCAGUGGGGAAUAUUGGACAAAGGACGAGAGUCGGAUACAGGAAUUCGGUGUGCACGAUGAAGUUUUCGGAAUGUAAAGUGAUUGCAGUUGGGAAGGGGUACCAACAGAAGAGGUGACGGCUACUUCCUUGCAAGAGGCGGCGUUAAUA
rnacentral:rRNA from 1 species